rnacentral:rRNA from 1 species
CCAGAGAACUACGAGCACAAACGCUUAAAACUCUAAGGACUUGGCGGUGCCCUAAACCCACCUAGAGGAGCCUGUUCUGUAAUCGAUGAUCCACGAUCAACCCUACCGUCCCUUGCCAAGCACAGCCUACAUACCGCCGUCGCCAGCCCACCUCGAAUGAGAGCACAACAGUGGGCGCAACAGCACCCCGCUAAUAAGACAGGUCAAGGUAUAGCCUAUGGGGCGGAAGAAAUGGGCUACAUUCCCUAUACAUAGGGCAGCACGGAAAGAAGUAUGAAACUGCUUCUGGAAGGAGGAUUUAGCAGUAAAGCGGGAUAAUAAAGCCCGCUUUAAGCCGGCCCUAGGGCACGUACACACCGCCCGUCACC